rnacentral:rRNA from 1 species
AUUGAACGCUGGCGGCAGGCCUAACACAUGCAAGUCGAGCGGAAACGACUUAACUGAACCUUCGGGGAACGUUAAGGGCGUCGAGCGGCGGACGGGUGAGUAAUGCUUAGGAAGUUGCCCGGUAGAGGGGGAUAACCAUUGGAAACGAUGGCUAAUACCGCAUAAUACCUACGGGUCAAAGUGGGGGACCUUCGGGCCUCACGCUAUCGGAUACGCCUAAGUGAGAUUAGCUAGUUGGUGAGGUAAGAGCUCACCAAGGCGACGAUCUCUAGCUGGUCUGAGAGGAUGAUCAGCCACACUGGAACUGAGACACGGUCCAGGCUCCUACGGGAGGCAGCAAUGGGGAAUAUUGCACAAUGGGCGCAAGCCUGAUGCAGCCAUGCCGCGUGUGUGAAGAAGGCCUUCGGGUUUGUAAAGCACUUUCAGCAGUGAGGAAGGUGGUGAGUUUAAUACGCUCAUCAUUUGACGUUUAGCUGCAGAAGAAGCACC